rnacentral:piRNA from 1 species
UAGUAUGGGUCAAGAGGUGAAAGUG